rnacentral:rRNA from 1 species
CUGCAGGGAGCUUACAAUGCAGUCGAACGGUGAAGCCAAGCUUGCUUGGUGGAUCAGUGGCGAACGGGUGAGUAACACGUGAGCAACCUGCCCUGAACUCUGGGAUAAGCGCUGGAAACGGUGUCUAAUACUGGAUAUGAGCUGCGGAGGCAUCUUCGUGGUUGGAAAGAUUUUUCGGUUUGGGAUGGGCUCGCGGCCUAUCAGCUUGUUGGUGAGGUAAUGGCUCACCAAGGCGUCGACGGGUAGCCGGCCUGAGAGGGUGACCGGCCACACUGGGACUGAGACACGGCCCAGACUCCUACGGGAGGCAGCAGUGGGAAUAUUGCACAAUGGGCGGAAGCCUGAUGCAGCAACGCCGCGUGAGGGAUGACGGCCUUCGGGUUGUAAACCUCUUUUAGCAGGGAAGAAGCGUGAGUGACGGUACCUGCAGAAAAAGCGCCGGCUAACUACGUGCCAGCAGCCGCGGUAAUACGUAGGGCGCAAGCGUUAUCCGGAAUUAUUGGGCGUAAAGAGCUCGUAGGCGGUUUGUCGCGUCUGCUGUGAAAACCCGAGGCUCAACCUCGGGCCUGCAGUGGGUACGGGCAGACUAGAGUGCGGUAGGGGAGAUUGGAAUUCCUGGUGUAGCGGUGGAAUGCGCAGAUAUCAGGAGGAACACCGAUGGCGAAGGCAGAUCUCUGGGCCGUAACUGACGCUGAGGAGCGAAAGGGUGGGGAGCAAACAGGCUUAGAUACCCUGGUAGUCCACCCCGUAAACGUUGGGAACUAGUUGUGGGGUCCAUUCCACGGAUUCCGUGACGCAUCUACGCAUUAAGUUCCCCGCCUGGGGAGUACGGCCGCAAGGCUAAAACUCAAGGAAUUGACGGGGACCCGCACAAGCGGCGGAGCAUGCGGAUUAAUUCGAUGCAACGCGAGAACCUUACCAAGGCUUGACAUACACGAGAACGCUGCAGAAUGUAGAACUCUUUGGACACUCGUGAACAGGUGGUGCAUGGUUGUCGUCAGCUCGUGUCGUGAGAUGUUGGGUUUAAGUCCCGCAACGAGCGCAAACCCCUCGUUCUAUGUUGCCAGCACGGUAAAUGGUGGGACUCAUGGGAUACUGCCCGGGGUUCACUCGAGGAAGUUGGGAAUGGACCGUCGAAUCAAUCAUGCCCCAUUAGGUCUCUGGGGCAUC